ensembl:rRNA 5S_rRNA 5S ribosomal RNA
GUCUAUGGCCAUACCACCCUGAAGGCGCCUGAUCUCAGAAGCUAAGCAGCGUCGGGACGGGUUAGUACUUGGAUGGGAGACCGCCUGGGAAUACCGGCUGCUGCAGGCC